AAAUAAGGCAGAAAGGAAUGCCGGCCUCGAGCAAGGACACCUGUUCAUGCCCAGAUCACUUCUGCAUUCAGCCAACAGACUGUUUCUCCCAAAAGAUGGAUGCAGCUAGAUUUUUUUUUUUUGUACCGAUAAUCUGUCUGAAAACUUGGAGAGGAUCUCUUUUCCCCUGUGAAGUCAGGAAAAUGACAGCAAGCAGCAUGGACUGGAGCUUCUAAAAUCACCUCUGCUUUGACCUUGAGGGCCCGUGCUAGAGGGGAGACAGCACCGGCUUAGAAACCCCACGGCUGGGCUCUAGUCCCAGCAUCAGUGGAGCACCAAGGGGAGAAAGUGUUCAUCACUGAUGUACUGACAUUGUGCAGUGGCUUAUGAAGAACCUUUCCAUUGAGGACCCAGUUGAAGCAAUACACUUGGGGAGCCUUAUCGCUGCCCAGGGCUACAUCUUUCCAAUCUCAGACCACGUUCUCACCAUGAAGGAUGAUGGCACCUUUUAUCGUUUCCAGGCUCCGUACUUCUGGCCUUCGAACUGCUGGGAACCUGAAAACACUGACUAUGGAGGAAGACAUUGAAGAAGGAAAGCCAUCUAUCUCUGUAAGAGGACAAUGCAAAAUAAAGCAAGGCUGGAACUGGCAGAUUAUGAAGCAGAAAACUUAGCAAGACUCCAGAGGGCCUUUGCAAGGAAGUGGGAAUUCAUCUUUAUGCAAGCAGAAGCACAAGUCAAGAUUGACCGGAAAAAAGACAAGACAGAAAGGAAAAUUUUGGAUAGUCAAGAACGAGCCUUUUGGGAUGUCCACAGGCCUGUGGCACAUCAGAGAACGGUGAACAGCACUUCAGCACUGUCCUUGGGGCCAUUUUAAACAGCAAAAUCACCAACAAAAAGUACAAAAAUGCAGAAAAGUUGGCACUAAAUUAGCCCUAAAUAGAAGGGUCUGAAACAAAAAGGCAGGCUGUCACCUUGUUCAAUUUCAGUGGGAAACACACAUAUCA
rnacentral:sRNA from 1 species